GAUGAAGAACGCAGUGAAACGCGAUAUGUAAUGUGAAUUGCAGAAUUCAGUGAAUCAUCGAAUCUUUGAACGCACAUGGCGCCUUCCAGUAUCCUGGGAGGCAUGCCUGUCCGAGCGUCGUUUCAACCCUCGAGCCCCUGUGGCCCGGCGUUGGGGAUCUGCCACGGCAGGCCCCUAAAACCAGUGGCGGACCCGAAGGGCCCUCUCCUUUGCGCAGUAGCAUUCGCCUCGCAUCGGGAGCCCUCGGCGUCCUGCCUCUAAACCCCCCACAAGCCCGCUUCGGCGGCACCAAGGUUGACCUCGGAUCAGGUAGGAAUACCCGCUGAACUUAAGCAUAUCAAUAAGCGGAGGA
rnacentral:misc_RNA from 1 species